UACGUAGGGUGCAAGCGUUAUCCGGAAUUAUUGGGCGUAAAGAGCUCGUAGGCGGUUUGUCGCGUCUGCUGUGAAAACCCGAGGCUCAACCUCGGGCCUGCAGUGGGUACGGGCAGACUAGAGUGCGGUAGGGGAGAUUGGAAUUCCUGGUGUAGCGGUGGAAUGCGCAGAUAUCGGGAAGAACACCCGUGGCGAAGGCGGCUCUCUGGGACGGUACUGACGCUGAGGCACGAAAGCGUGGGGAGCAAACAGG
rnacentral:rRNA from 1 species